GUAGCCCUGAGGCAUGAUGGUCGUUGUGCCUUAUCAUUUAAAACCCGAUCACACUAAUUAAUCGAAUCUAUUCCUUCGAUAUGUUACUAUGCUUCUUAGAUCUAAAUCUACGUCGCCUUAGAGAUGUCUGCUUAUAGUGCACGAGUCUUGCUCUCCUCAACUUCAGCUCAGUUUAGAGUGCAAUCAAUGCAAUGCAUAUCAAUCUAUCUGUCUAGGCUAUCAACCACUGAAAGCCGACUCAAAAUAGCCUCCUGAUUGAAAAGUGACAGACAAUUCUGGCUUUCAACCCCGGCACAAAAAAAAUCCUUUCAAAACCAAAAUGAACAUGUGCGGCAUCAGACUCAGUGAAGAUUCGAGCACACUGGAGGCAUUAAAGUUGAAAUUGAGCACCGUCUAAAGCCACAGAUGCAAAUGACACACUCUUCUGACUUGUUCACCCAAGUGCUAAGACAAAGGGUCAUUAACUUGCCCGAACCUCAACUCUUUUAUGACGUUAAAUUUCUUCAAUUGGAAUUUAAAAUCUCUUUUUAAAUUUAAUACGAAUUGUAGACCUUUUGGUAAAAGGAGUAAAAAGUAAAUAGAGCUGUGUUAUUUUGA